CCCUUAGAUGUCCUGGGCUGCACGCGCGCUACACUGAUGUGUCCAGUAAGCACCUAACCUCUUCCGAAAGGAACGGGUAACCUUUGCAAAGCACAUCGUGAUGGGGAUAGAUUAUUGCAAUUAUUAGUCUUGAACGAGGAAUUCCUAGUAAGCACAAGUCAUCAGCUUGUGUUGAUUACGUCCCUGCCCUUUGUACACACCGCCCGUCGCUCCUACCGAUUGAGCGAUCCGGUGAAUGUUUUGGACUGGCGUCAGAAGCGGUUCGCUCCUGACACUACGAAAUUUUGUAAACCUUAUCGCUUAGGGGAAGGAAAAGUCGUAACA
rnacentral:rRNA from 1 species